GACGAACGCUGUCGGCGUGCCUAAUACAUGCAAGUAGAACGAGUUGCGAACGGGUGAGUAACGCGUGUUAACCUGCCUGGUAGCGGGGGAUAACUAUUGGAAACGCUAGCUAAUACCGCAUACUAACAGAUGGAACUGCGUUGUAUUAGCUUGUUGGUGGGGUAACGGCUCACCAAGGCAACGAUACAUAGCCGACCUGAGAGGGUGACCAGCCACACUGGAACUGAGACACGGUCCAGACUCCUACGGGAGGCAGAAGUGGGGAAUAUUGCACAAUGGGCGCAAGCCUGAUGCAGCCAUGCCGCGUGUGUGAAGAAGGCCUUCGGGUUGUAAAGCACUUUCAGCGGGGAGGCGUUACCCGCAGAAGAAGCACCGGCUAACUCCGUGCCAGCAGCCGCGGUAAUAC
rnacentral:rRNA from 1 species